CAGUAGCCACGGUAAUACGGAGGGGGCUAGCGUUGUUCGGAAUUACUGGGCGUAAAGCGCACGUAGGCGGCUUUGUAAGUCAGAGGUGAAAGCCCGGGGCUCAACCCCGGAAUUGCCUUUGAGACUGCAUCGCUUGAAUCCAGGAGAGGUGAGUGGAAUUCCGAGUGUAGAGGUGGAAUUCGUAGAUAUUCGGAAGAACACCAGUGGCGAAGGCGGCUCACUGGACUGGUAUUGACGCUGAGGUGCGAAAGCGUGGGGAGCAAACAGGAUUAGAUACCCGCGUAGUCCCUGUCUCUUAUAC
rnacentral:rRNA from 1 species